rnacentral:lncRNA from 10 species
CUCAUGGGAAACCUCUACUAGGGCAGUGCACCUGUGGCUUUAGCCCCCAUGGCUGCUCUCAUGGGCUAGGCUGGUGUUUAGUGUGUGUAGCUUUUCCAUACUGAGCGUGCGGGCUGUUGGUGCAUCUAUGAAUCUGGGGUCUGGAGGAUGGUGGCCUCCUGCAUAGGGGCUCCAAACCCAUAUUUUCCUUCUGCGCUGCCCUAGUAGAGGUUUUCCAAGAGGCUCUGCCUCUGUCUCAGGCUUCUGCAUGGAGACAGUGAGGGGUGGAUAUGGGGUGGGGGGCAGAUCCUUCACCAAUAGUUAAGCAUCGUCUUUGUGAUGCUGAUCUCCUCAUAGUGAGCUCUCAUGAGAUCAAGUUGCAUAACAGGAUAUGGCACCUCUUUCCUCUCGCUGUCGUGCUUCUGCUCCUGCUAUAUGAAACACUUCAUUGCCGCUUGGCCUUCUGGUAUGGUUGUGAGGCUUCCUGAGUCCUCCUAGAAGCAGAAACAACUAUGCUUUCUUUACAGCCCGAAGAACUGUGAGUCAAUUAAACCUCUUUUCUUUAUGUAUAUACAGAAAAUCAAUGCUGCAAGGUGAAGAUAUGAAAUGCCUUCUAGGCCUUUCCCGCAAUCUCUUGGCUGUUAGCACUGUUUUUUUUAAUGCAAAUAUUGGAGGCCUUCUUGAUUUUUCCCUUGAUAAUGGACCCUUCUUCUUUUACCACAUUGCCAGGCUGUGACACAGAUAGCUGACAAUGUAGAAGCCAGUUCUGAAUUGGGUAAUGGCCAGAGGUUAGAGAGUCUGGAGGAUGGUAACCUCUUGUGUGGGGCCACCAAGCCUUUUUUUUUGUUUUUUGUUUUUUUUCUGCUUUGUCCUAGUAGAGGUUUUCCUAGUAGCUCUGCCUCUGCCUCAGGCUUCUGCUUGGAAACAGUGGGGGUUGUGGGUGGUAGGGGGCAGAUCUUUCACCAAUGGCUCCACCAAUGGUUAAGCAUUCUUGAUGCUGACCUUGUGUUAGAGAGUUCUCAGGAAAUCUGGUUGUAUAACAGGGUGUGGCACCUUUUUCCUCUCUCUGUCUUGUUUCUACUUCUGCCAUAUAAAACAUACUAUUGGUGCUUGGUCUUCUGGAAUGAUUGGGAGGCUUCCUGAGUCCUCCCAGAUGCAGUAGCCUCUAUGAUUUAUUUAAAGCGUGCAGAACCAUGAGCCAGUUCAACCUCUUUUCUUUCUGAUUAUACAGAAAAUUAGUGCUGUGAAAUGGAGCUAUGAAAUGCCUUCAAGGCCUUUUCCUUAUUUUCUUGGCAAUGAGCACUCAGCUUCUUUUCCGGCAAAUAUCUGAAGCCUGCCUGAAUUUUUCUCCUGAAACAGACUUUGCUUCUUUUACCACAUUGCCAGGCUGCAACAAACAUAGCUGAAAAUGUAGAAGCAGGUUGAGAAGUGUGUAACGGCCAGAGGUUGGAGAGUUUGGAGGUGUUGGAAGAAGACAGGAAGAUGUGGAAAAGUUUGGACCAGUGUAGAGACUUGUUAAAUAGUUAUAAUUAAAAAGAUGACAGAAUGAUGGACAGUGAUGGCCAGGCUUAGAAGGUCUCACAUGAAAAUGAGGAGCUUGCUGGGAUGAGGAGCCAAGGUCACUUUUGUUUUCCCUUAGCAAAGAACGUUACUGCACGAUGCCGUUAACCUGGAGAUCUGUGAAACUUUGAACUUGAGAGUGAUGAUUUAGAGUGUAUCUGGUGGAAUGAACUUUUAGGCAGCAAAGCUCAAGAGGUGUCUGGUCUGUGCCAAACACCCUGAGGUGUCUUAUAUGUGACCAAAGAAAUGACCUCAAGGUGAAACUUAUAUUUAAAUGAGACGGAGAGCUUAAAAGUUUGGAAAAUUUGCAGGCUGGCCAAGUGGUCAAAAAGAAAAGCUGAUUUUCCGUGGGAAAGUUCAAGAAGAUUUCAGAAAUGUGCAUAAAAUGGAAUUGAGUGCUAAUAGCCAAGACAAGGAUAAAAAGGCCUUGAAGGCACUUCAGAGACUUUUGCAGCAACCCUUGCUGUCACAGGCCCCCAGGCCUGGGAGAAAAGAAUGAUUUCCUUAUCCAGUCCCAUGGCCCUGCUGCUGUGUCCAUCCUCAGGACACUGCUGGCUGCAUACCUGAAGCUCCAGCUCCAACCAUGGCUGACAGAUACAAAGGUACAUCUUGGGUCGCUGCUUCAGAGGGUGCAAGCUGCAAGCCUUGGUGGCUUCCACAUAGUGUUGAGCCAGCAGGUGCAAAAAGGCCAAGACUAGAGGCUCAGAAUCCUUCAUGUAGACUACAGAGGAUUUACAGAAAAACCUGGGUGUCCAGGUCGAAACUAUUCAAAGAGGCAGAGCCUCAUGGGAAUCCUUUACUAGGGCAGUAUGGAAGGAACAUAUAGGGUUGGAACCACCACACAGGGAGCACCAUUCUGAAACGUCAGAUUCAUAGACUCACUAACAUCUUGCAUCUUCAUUGUGGAAAAGCUACAGGUGCUCAACACUAGCCCAGCCCAUGAGGGCAGCUGCGGGGGCUGAACACUGCAAAGCCACAGGUACAGAGCUGCCCAAGGCCUUGGGAGCCCAGCCCUCACGCCCUUGUGUCCUAGAUGUGGGACAAGGACUUAAAAAGGAUGAUUUUGGAGCUGUAGGUUUGAAUAACUGGCCUGCUGGGUUUUGGAAUGUCAUGGGAACCUGUAAGUCCCGUUUGUGUUUUGUUCUUCUCUCUGGCAAAAAAUCUUCCUUUCGGGUGGAGGUUCUUACUCAAUGCCUGGACAGUCAUACCUUGGAGGUAAUUAACUUGCUUUGUAUUUCAGAGGCUCAGGGGCAGAAGGGAUGGCAGUCUUGUCUCAGAAGAGACUUUGGGCUUUGGACAUUUCAGUAAAUGCUGGAAUGAGCUAAGACAUUGGGAAACUGUAGAGUAGGCAUCAUUGUAUUUUGCAGUGUGAGAACAACAUGAGAUAUGGGGGGUCAGGGUCAGAAUAAUACGAUUUGGGUCUGCAUCCCUACCAAACUCAUUUGGAAUUGUAAUGGUGAAUGUUAAACGUGGGGCCUGGUGUGAGGUGAUUUAUUCAUGGAGAAGAGUGGGCGUUGGAGGUAGGGGUGUGGGGAGAAUGGG